rnacentral:rRNA from 1 species
GUAAUGAUGGCCAGGCUGUCUCCACCCGAGACUCAGUGAAAUUGAACUCGCUGUGAAGAUGCAGUGUACCCGCGGCAAGACGGAAAGACCCCGUGAACCUUUACUAUAGCUUGACACUGAACAUUGAGCCUUGAUGUGUAGGAUAGGUGGGAGGCUUUGAAGUGUGGACGCCAGUCUGCAUGGAGCCGACCUUGAAAUACCACCCUUUAAUGUUUGAUGUUCUAACGUUGACCCGUAAUCCGGGUUGCGGACAGUGUCUGGUGGGUAGUUUGACUGGGGCGGUCUCCUCCUAAAGAGUAACGGAGGAGCACGAAGGUUGGCUAAUCCUGGUCGGACAUCAGGAGGUUAGUGCAAUGGCAUAAGCCAGCUUGACUGCGAGCGUGACGGCGCGAGCAGGUGCGAAAGCAGGUCAUAGUGAUCCGGUGGUUCUGAAUGGAAGGGCCAUCGCUCAACGGAUAAAAGGUACUCCGGGGAUAACAGGCUGAUACCGCCCAAGAGUUCAUAUCGACGGCGGUGUUUGGCACCUCGAUGUCGGCUCAUCACAUCCUGGGGCUGAAGUAGGUCCCAAGGGUAUGGCUGUUCGCCAUUUAAAGUGGUACGCGAGCUGGGUUUAGAACGUCGUGAGACAGUUCGGUCCCUAUCUGCCGUGGGCGCUGGAGAACUGAGGGGGGCUGCUCCUAGUACGAGAGGACCGGAGUGGACGCAUCACUGGUGUUCGGGUUGUCAUGCCAAUGGCACUGCCCGGUAGCUAAAUGCGGAAGAGAUAAGUGCUGAAAGCAUCUAAGCACGAAACUUGCC